AAAUUGAAGAGUUUGAUCAUGGCUCAGAUUGAACGCUGGCGGCAGGCCUAACACAUGCAAGUCGAACGGUAACAGGAAGCAGCUUGCUGCUUCGCUGACGAGUGGCGGACGGGUGAGUAAUGUCUGGGAAACUGCCUGAUGGAGGGGGAUAACUACUGGAAACGGUGGCUAAUACCGCAUAACGUCGCAAGACCAAAGAGGGGGACCUUCGGGCCUCUUGCCAUCAGAUGUGCCCAGAUGGGAUUAGCUUGUUGGUGAGGUAACGGCUCACCAAGGCGACGAUCCCUAGCUGGUCUGAGAGGAUGACCAGCCACACUGGAACUGAGACACGGUCCAGACUCCUACGGGAGGCAGCAGUGGGGAAUAUUGCACAAUGGGCGCAAGCCUGAUGCAGCCAUGCCGCGUGUAUGAAGAAGGCCUUCGGGUUGUAAAGUACUUUCAGCGGGGAGGAAGGUGUUGUGGUUAAUAACCGCAGCAAUUGACGUUACCCGCAGAAGAAGCACCGGCUAACUCCGUGCCAGCAGCCGCGGUAAUACGGAGGGUGCAAGCGUUAAUCGGAAUUACUGGGCGUAAAGCGCACGCAGGCGGUCUGUCAAGUCGGAUGUGAAAUCCCCGGGCUCAACCUGGGAACUGCAUUCGAAACUGGCAGGCUUGAGUCUUGUAGAGGGGGGUAGAAUUCCAGGUGUAGCGGUGAAAUGCGUAGAGAUCUGGAGGAAUACCGGUGGCGAAGGCGGCCCCCUGGACAAAGACUGACGCUCAGGUGCGAAAGCGUGGGGAGCAAACAGGAUUAGAUACCCUGGUAGUCCACGCCGUAAACGAUGUCUACUUGGAGGUUGUGCCCUUGAGGCGUGGCUUCCGGAGCUAACGCGUUAAGUAGACCGCCUGGGGAGUACGGCCGCAAGGUUAAAACUCAAAUGAAUUGACGGGGGCCCGCACAAGCGGUGGAGCAUGUGGUUUAAUUCGAUGCAACGCGAAGAACCUUACCUGGUCUUGACAUCCACAGAACUUUCCAGAGAUGGAUUGGUGCCUUCGGGAACUGUGAGACAGGUGCUGCAUGGCUGUCGUCAGCUCGUGUUGUGAAAUGUUGGGUUAAGUCCCGCAACGAGCGCAACCCUUAUCCUUUGUUGCCAGCGGUCCGGCCGGGAACUCAAAGGAGACUGCCAGUGAUAAACUGGAGGAAGGUGGGGAUGACGUCAAGUCAUCAUGGCCCUUACGACCAGGGCUACACACGUGCUACAAUGGCGCAUACAAAGAGAAGCGACCUCGCGAGAGCAAGCGGACCUCAUAAAGUGCGUCGUAGUCCGGAUUGGAGUCUGCAACUCGACUCCAUGAAGUCGGAAUCGCUAGUAAUCGUGGAUCAGAAUGCCACGGUGAAUACGUUCCCGGGCCUUGUACACACCGCCCGUCACACCAUGGGAGUGGGUUGCAAAAGAAGUAGGUAGCUUAACCUUCGGGAGGGCGCUUACCACUUUGUGAUUCAUGACUGGGGUGAAGUCGUAACAAGGUAACCGUAGGGGAACCUGCGGUUGGAUCACCUCCUUACCUGAAAGAA
rnacentral:rRNA from 2 species